ACUGAGGUCUAUCCCCAUAGCUUCCCCAGUAACACACACCACUGGGGACACCACAUACUGUACCUGUGGUUUUGCUUGGCUCAUGGGAAUAUUUCCUCAGUUUGUGGGAAGUGACUACAAGACAGUU
ensembl:snoRNA Gm23208 predicted gene, 23208